AGCUCCAAUAGCGUAUAUUAAAGUUGUUGCAGUUAAAAAGCUCGUAGUUGGAUGUCUGUUGGAAGCAAUCAUCAGUCCGCCCUAUUUGAUUAGGGUGUGAAUAUGAUGAAUUCCGGCAUAAUUGUCUCCCUAUUAUCAAUAUAUAAGAUGAUCAUUAUUAGAUUCAUUUCUAAUAAUGCGUCUACUAUAUUAUUGGUAGUAUGGGAGAAAUGUUACUUUGAGAAAAUUAGAGUGUUUGAAGCAGGCUUUUGUUGCCUUGAAUACUGCAGCAUGGAAUAACAAUAUAGGAUUUCGGUUCUAUUUUGUUGGUUUUUUUUAGGACUGAAAUAAUGAUUAAUAGGGACAGUUGGGGGCAUUCGUA
rnacentral:rRNA from 1 species